ACACCAUAUCGUUUCCUGAUACAUUUCCCCGUUUGAUUCCUAGAAAACCGUACGCUACAUCUAACGUUAUGCAAAUUGCUUCCUCACAGAAAGCAAAAACAGAGAAAACACCUCAAAUCAGCACUUCGGGGCUUUUCCAGAUUGACCUUUGAUCUUUAACAGUCCAAGGGCUCCUUUCGAAAUCCUCUUGAGGCAAGUUCCAUUUGAGCGCGGUGACAUUUGGGGUAGGCAUGUCCAUUGCCAGUUUUUGGACGAGGCGUCCGGAAGAUUUUUUGUGCGAAUGCUUCCAAAUGUGAA